rnacentral:rRNA from 1 species
GAUGAACGCUGGCGGCGUGCUUAACACAUGCAAGUCGAACGAAGCACCUCUCCCGAAGAUUGACACAGCUUGCUGUAGAUUGAUUCAUUUGAGGUGACUGAGUGGCGGACGGGUGAGUAACGCGUGGGUAACCUGCCUCAUAGCGGGGGACAACAGUUGGAAACGACUGCUAAUACCGCAUAGUAAGAAGAAUUCGCAUGUUUUCUUCUUGAAAGAUUUAUCGCUAUGAGAUGGACCCGCGUCUGAUUAGCUAGUUGGUAAGGUAACGGCUUACCAAGGCGACGAUCAGUAGCCGGCUUGAGAGAGUGAACGGCCACAUUGGGACUGAGACACGGCCCAAACUCCUACGGGAGGCAGCAGUGGGGAAUAUUGCACAAUGGGGGAAACCCUGAUGCAGCGACGCCGCGUGAGUGAAGAAGUAUUUCGGUAUGUAAAGCUCUAUCAGCAGGGAAGAUAAUGACGGUACCUGACUAAGAAGCCCCGGCUAACUACGUG